GAUGAACGCUAGCGGCAGGCUUAACACAUGCAAGUCGAGGGGCAACACGGGUAGCAAUACCUGGUGGCGACCGGCGCAAGGGUGCGUAACGCGUGAGCAACAUGCCCUAUACAGGGGGAUAAUCCAGGGAAACUUGGUCUAAUAUCCCAUAGUAUUUAGAGGUGGCAUCACCACUAAAUUAAAGCUUCGGUGGUAUAGGAUUGGCUCGCGUGACAUUAGCUGGUUGGUAAGGUAACGGCUUACCAAGGCUAUGAUGUUUAGGGGUCCUGAGAGGGUGGUCCCCCACACUGGUACCUGAGACACGGACCAGACUCCUACGGGAGGCAGCAGUUGAGGAAUAUUGGUCAAUGGGCGCAAGCCUGAACCAGCCAUCCCGCGUGCAGGAAGACGGCCCUAUGGGUUGUAAACUGCUUUUCCAGGGAGAGAAACUUACGCACGUGUUGCGUGACUGACGGUCCUGGGAAUAAGCAUCGGCUAACUCCGUGCCAGCAGCCGCGGUAAACU
rnacentral:rRNA from 1 species